GGGAUCGUUCCUACAACCAGAAAGACAGCUACAGGGCAACACCAUUCCUUGGAUUACAAAGUGAGGGCAACGCCAGUACCCGUACAGCGACCCUAUCUACAAAAGAACUAACUUCAGCAGCGCAAGCAUGGCACCCAGCUACACUCAGGAGCAGUAUGACAGAGAGUUUACCAUGCGGCUGGCUUUCUUUGGACCCAACCCCCCGGAGAAAUACGUGCAGUUUGUAAGGAGCCAGGUAGACGAGUACCUGGAGUUCAUGGCAGAUCCAGCCAAAGGUAUCAGCCGCCCUAUCCGGAGGCAGAGUGCGUUACGGGGACUCAUAGGUGUGUCCCAGGGAGCAGAAGGUGUCGUCCUUCCUCCCCAGCGGCAGUGUGUAUCCCAGGGAGCUGAAGGUACCGUCCUUCCUCCCCAGCGGCAGUGUGUAUCCCAGGGAGCUGAAGGUACCGUC